GCGCAUAGGGGCACCCCACGUCUGGCAACACCUCCUACCACCGACGCGCAAGGGGCACCGCAGAGGACUGCGUUACCCUGAACUUCGUUGCACGCUGCUGCACGCACACUGCCGCCACUCUGCAGCCGCUUCCCUAAAGCAUGGACAGCUGUGUCAGCCUCACCUACAGCUCAAAAGAGGAGGCGGGCCGGCACGCUGUGGCACGACGUCAUCUCUCUCCCGGCGAGCUCGUGCUCGCUGCGGCGCCGUUUGGGCUCGUCAUGAACCCCAAUUGGUGCCCCAGCGCCCUCCACCUCUCCUCUAAAGCUACCGCGAGGUCGGAUGCGGCAACCAGCGCCUCAAGCGCAGACCCGGGCGGCACGACGGCGAGGAAGGCGGGAGGAGGGCAUGGCUGCGGCAAUCGAGCAAACAGCGCGGCCGCGGUAUCGGCAGCGGGCGAAUCGGCGUCUGCGUCGCACUACACGCAUGCACUGGAGGACGAGGCGGGCGUGCAGGGCGAGGUCUCUCCGACGAGCCUCUCUCGCUGGUACACUACGACGCCGACGUGGUGCUCCGUGUGCUUUCAAGAGAUCCCUGCAGGCCGGUGGCUGUGCAAUCGUGGAAGCCUCGCCGAGCUAGCAAUGGACAUUGCUCAGGAGCAAGAGGAGCUUGACCGAAGUAUCAGGGUCGCCGAGGCACAGGCCCCUGGCUCUGACGAAGUUAACAAAAGCGACGAGGGCGGCGACGACGCGGCCUCCGCAGCUGCAGCAGCGGCGCUCCGCAAGUUGAAGAAGCCAUCCAAGUCUUCUGCGACCCGCAAGAAGGGCGCGGUGGAGCUAAAGCAGCGUUUACAAGAAAAGGCUCUUGCGCUGAGGGAGGAGCUCCUCUUGAGGCGGCGGCUGCAGCGUCGUCGUCGCGUUGAGGAAGGGCUGCCGGUGGUGCGCCGCGAAGGGUGGGAGACGCCGACAUCAUCCUCGUCUUUCGCGGCGGGAGCCGCGUAUGAGGAGCCAGCCAUGUCUGGCUGCACCGGCUGUGGGGUCCUCUGCUUCUGCUCCGAGGUGUGCUGGCGCGCCCAUCGGGACGAGCACGAGCAGAGCGGCGAAUGUGCCUUGCUGCGGUCUCUGUACCCUCGGCUCAUGGCUGCGUACUACACGAUGGGCGUGGCCAGCUCUUCGGCAAGCGCCGGCGGCGCGUCCAGCACUGUUGUGAUGCCGGGGGACGAACCACUGCACUGGGCACGGUCGACAAGCGAGCCACGAAUGCUCGAGUUCCAGUCGCUGCUCUUCAGUGCCAUUGUGGUGGCACGUGUGUGCCGUACCGGGUACCAGGCACGCUGCGCCGCUACAGCUGAAGAUGCCGCUGUGCACUCGGAGGGCGGCGUCGCGGCGCAGGUGGCAGCGCCCUCCGCUGGUGAUGGCGGUUCAGCGUCUGUCGAAGCUAGAUCGCAAACCAACACCUUGGACGAACAGUUGCUGCCGCCUACAAGCCCCAGUGCGUUGCCGGGCCGAGGUGAUCAGUGCAGCCCAGACACGCUGGUGGCAAGCUCCACGUCAAUGGCGGUCGACUCCGUGGUCAUUCCAAAGGAGGUGUGGUCGAUUAACGAGAUUCGCGCCAAGGCGGGCCUGAAAGGCACGGUGGAGGUGCUCGACGCUGACCCUGAGCUGCGACGCAUCGCUCGUGAGGUUUUGGCACCGAGAGACCGCUCAAGCGCUGAAGGGCCGCCGGAUGGCUCCAGCGACUCACCUGCUGCAGACCCGCGUGUCGUCAGAGCGACGACUGCGGCACGGUUGCGCAGCUGCACCAGCAUUAACACCAGCAGGGACGGUGCCGACGACGACCCUCUUCCGAAGCUCCGUGCACGAACCCCGCGAUACGCGGACUUGGCUCAGAUGGAGACAAACUUGUCCGUCAUCGCGAAGCAUCACCGCAGCACAUACCAGCGCUACUACCGUGCCUUCGCGAAGCGGGUGCUGCCGGCGCUUCAGCAGCUCCUGCUUCACCAACAGAGAGGCGUCACCGUCGACGGCAGCGACGGUGACAGCCGUGUGGACACAGCAUCGCGGCCGUUGGCGCAUCUGGAGAAGGGCACUGGCGACGUGCUGCAGGUAUCGGAGGUGUACUUUCAGCGACUGUGCGCCGCUGCGCAGUGCAACAGUUUCGGGGUCUAUGAUACGCAGGACCACUGCAUCGGCUUCGGCAUGUACCCAGAGGCGUCGUACUUUAACCACUCCUGCGUGCCGAACUUGUGCCGCGUCAUGCAUCAUGGCGGCCGCAUCGCCGCUUUCUACGCACUGCGCGCUAUCGCGCCACAGGAGCCGCUGACAAUCUGCUACACAGAUGUGGAGCAGCUGAACAGCGCCGAGCGGCGCCGGAAUCUGCUCGGCACUUACCGCUUCUUCUGCAUGUGUGAGCGAUGCAGCGGAAAGGCGGAGGGGCCGCAGAUAGCGAUUGCCGCAGCAGGCAACCGCGAGAGUGUCAGCGGCCCGCGCUCCGGCUGUGUGGAGGUUUCGCCGGCGGCCUUCGAGAACCCACUGCUGUUGUGUGCCGAGUGCUCGAUCCACGGAUAUCUGCGUCCGCUGCCUCCACCGUUUUUCAGCUCCUCGCCUGUGAAGUCCGACUCUGCCCCCAAAUCGACACCGUCGUGGACCAUGCAGGAAGUGGAGAUGCGGCAGUGCACGGUGUGCCGGUCACGAGUCGUGCGCGAAGCUGUGGCCGCCGCAGCGACACUUCAGUGAAGAGACGAGGAAGCAGGAGAGGCGCCCUGAUUGUGUGCAUGCCGUGGCCCCGUUCGACUGAUUCGCGGCCGUGGCCAUCCUUGAGGGGGGGGGGAGAAGGGGGGAUUUUGCACGUCAUGGCGGCGGCUACGCCAACAAACUCUUGUUUCGUCUUGCUCAGCCACUCUCAGCAUCUCACCUCGCGUUCGCCCCACGUCCUCUCUCAGCCCUCCUCCCCCAGUUUCUUUCCUGCGGUUGUACGCGCUGCUGCAGCACCCCUUCUUCACAUUGUGCAAUGAAGAUUUAAGCCAGUAACAAGGGCUACAC
rnacentral:misc_RNA from 1 species